GAGACCUGUUUGGGAAGGAAAGGGUUGCUGUCGUUGCUUCUGCUGGCUGCUUUUCACAGAUUCCGAGGGUUUCUCCGUGCUAGCGGGAACUCCCUCCGCGGCGGGCACUGUUUCCAGGCCUGGCAGCCCUUCUCCUCAGCGCCUUCCCGCUGGCGUUAGUUGUCUGCACUGACCGCGCCGGGCAGCGUUCCGGGUGCGCGGAGCCGUCCGUCCCCGCGGAGAUUUGGUUCUGGCGGGAUUUCCCCAGGCGGGCAUUUCAGAAGUAUCACCAGAUACGUAUCCUGAAAACAAUGAGUGUGACCCACAGUUUCUACAUCUGACUGCCUUCGGGCAGAAAUCACAUGAGGUUCUGCAGAGCUUUGUGGAAUACCUGUGGAUUCAUCACGUGUCAUCUUAGGCUCCUAGCAUAGGAGUGUUCUCCUUUCUGUGGCAGUGUGGUAUAGCAGAUGAGAGAACCAAUUUAGAUGUGUGUUCACUCUUGCCAC